rnacentral:rRNA from 1 species
CACGGAGGGGGCGAGCGUUGUCCGGAUUUAUUGGGCGUAAAGAGCUCGUAGGCGGUUCGGUAAGUCGGGUGUGAAACCUCCAGGCUCAACCUGGAGACGCCACCCGAUACUGCUGUGACUUGAGUCCGGUAGGGGAGCGUGGAAUUCCUGGUGUAGCGGUGAAAUGCGCAGAUAUCAGGAGGAACACCAGCGGCGAAGGCGGCGCUCUGGGCCGGAACUGACGCUGAGGAGCGAAAGCGUGGGUAGCAAACAGG